rnacentral:rRNA from 1 species
UGUCAAUGGGCGAGAAGCCUGACCAGCAGUCGCGGAGAGACUGCUUAUGGGUGUAACUUCUUUAUAGGGAUAAAGAGAUACGUGUAUCUAUGCGUGUACUAUGAUAGCAUCGGCUAACUCCGUGCCAGCAGCCGCGGUAAUACGGAGGAUGCGAGCGUUAUCCGGAUUUAUUGGGUUUAAAGGGUGCGCAGGCGGCAGAUUAAGUCAGCGGUGAAAUCCCGACGCUCAACGUCGGCAUUGCCGUUGAAACUGGUUUGCUUGAGUGUAGAUGAAGUAGGCGGAAUUCGUUGUGUAGCGGUGACAUGCUUAGAUAUAACGAGGAACUCCAAUUGCGUAGGCAGCUUACUAAACUAUAACUGACGCUCAUGCACGAAAGCGUGGGGAUCAAACAGGAUUAGAUACCCUGGUAGUCCACGCCGUAAACGAUGAUUACUAGUUGUAUGCGAUAUGAUAGUAUGUGACUAAGCGAAAGCGAUAAGUAAUCCACCUGGGGAGUACGCCGGCAACGGUGAAACUCAAAGGAAUUGACGGGGGCCCGCACAAGCGGAGGAACAUGUGGUUUAAUUCGAUGAUACGCGAGGAACCUUACCCGGGCUUGAAAUGCAUUUGACGGUCUAAGAAAUUAGAUUUCCAGCAAUGGCAAAUGUGUAGGUGCUGCAUGGUUGUCGUCAGCUCGUGCCGUGAGGUGUCGGCUUAAGUGCCAUAACGAGCGCAACCCACAUCGUUAGUUACUAACAGGUUAAGCUGAGGACUCUAACGAGACUGCCGUCGUAAGAUGCGAGGAAGGUGUGGAUGACGUCAAAUCAGCACGGCCCUUACGUCCGGGGCGACACACGUGUUACAAUGGAUGGUACAAAGGGCAGCUACUUGGCGACAAGAUGCUAAUCUCCAAAACCAUUCCCAGUUCGGAUCGGAGUCUGCAACUCGACUCCGUGAAGCUGGAUUCGCUAGUAAUCGCGCAUCAGCCAUGGCGCGGUGAAUACGUUCCCGGGCCUUGUACACACCGCCCGUCAAGCCAUGGAAGCCGGGGGUAUCUGAAGUACGUAACCGCAAGGAGCGUCCUAGGGUAAAACUGGUAACUGGGGCUAAGUCGUAACAAGGUAGCCAAGCUUGGAAUUCG